AUUGAACGCUGGCGGCAUGCUUUACACAUGCAAGUCGAACGGUAACAGGCCGCAAGGUGCUGACGAGUGGCGAACGGGUGAGUAAUGCAUCGGAACGUGCCCAGUCGUGGGGGAUAACGCAGCGAAAGCUGCGCUAAUACCGCAUACGAUCUAUGGAUGAAAGCGGGGGACCGUAAGGCCUCGCGCGAUUGGAGCGGCCGAUGUCAGAUUAGGUAGUGGGUGGGGUAAAGGCUCACCAAGCCAACGAUCUGUAGCUGGUCUGAGAGGACGACCAGCCACACUGGGACUGAGACACGGCCCAGACUCCUACGGGAGGCAGCAGUGGGGAAUUUUGGACAAUGGGCGCAAGCCUGAUCCAGCAAUGCCGCGUGCAGGAAGAAGGCCUUCUGGUUGUAAACUGCUUUUGUACGGAACGAAACGGUCCUGGUUAAUACCUGGGGCUAAUGACGGUACCGUAAGAAUAAGCACCGGCUAACUACGUGCCAGCAGCCGCAGUAACAC
rnacentral:rRNA from 1 species